rnacentral:tRNA from 1 species
GCCUCAGUAGCAGACCGGUAAUGCAUUUGCUUCGUAAGCAAAAGAUAGGGGGUUCGAUUCCCUCUUGAGGCU